UGGCAAACGGGUGAGUAUAAUGUGGGAAUCUGCCUUUUGGUUUGGAAUAACACGGGGAAACUUGUGCUAAUACCGAAUAAGCCUUUACAGGGAAAGUUUUAACGCCGAAAGAUGAGCCCGCACUUGAUUAGCUAGUUGGUAAGGUAAAAGCUUACCAAGGCAACGAUCAAUAGCUGUUCUUAGAGGAAGACCAGCCACAUUGGGACUGAGACACGGCCCAGACUCCUACGGGAGGCAGCAGUGGGGAAUCUUGCACAAUGGGGGAAACCCUGAUGCAGCGAUGCCGCGUGAGUGAAGAAGGCCCUUGGGUUGUAAAACUCUUUCGUCGGGGAAGAAAAUGACUGUACCCGAAUAAGAAGGUCCGGCUAACUUCGUGCCAGCAGCCGCGGUAAUACGAAGGGACCUAGCGUAGUUCGGAAUUACUGGGCUUAAAGAGCUCGUAGGUGGUUAAAAAAGUUGAUGGUGAAAUCCCAAGGCUUAACCUUGGAACUGCCAUCAAAACUUUUUAGCUAGAGUGUGAUAGAGGUAAGUGGAAUUUCUAGUGUAGAGGUGAAAUUCGUAGAUAUUAGAAAGAACACCAAAUGCGAAGGCAACUUACUGGGUCACUACUGACACUGAGGAGCGAAAGCAUGGGUAGCGAAGAGGAUUAG
rnacentral:rRNA from 1 species